UUGCUUUUUCCAUAUGGUGAACUGGAUGUUCAUAUCUUACUGUAUUAUAUCUUACUUUUAUUGUCCAAAUGAGUGUACUAAAUUGUUCUUGUAUUUUCCAAAUGAUCAUCUUAAUGUUCACACUUUACUGUACUAUAAAGUAAAAUCACAAAAAUACUAAACUCCAAGGAAAAUACAAAACGAGAAGUCCCUUAUCAAAUGGCAAAAUCGAAAGUUCAAUCACACCAAACGAAUGGAUAACAACUGUUAUAUUCCUGACGUGGUACUGGCAUUAUCUUAUGUGGAUUAAACAAGGUUUUUAACAAGCUAACUUAACCUCUCACUUGUAUGACAGUCGCAUCCAACUGUGAACUUAAUUAUAUUAACAAGAAUGUGUGAACAAACAAACAUACAUAAGUAAAAAUGUCAACAUAGGGGUAAAGCAUUCAACAUUGUGUUCUACUCUUAUUCAGUAUUAGAACAAAGAAAAUAUAUAACAAAGAAGCUCAAAAUAUUAAACUUUUAUUAUAUGCAAAACAAACAUAAUAAUCACACUUUACUGUACUUUAUUUUUAUUUACUCGCAGUACUUUCAUCCAUUGUUUAAUAGAUAUAGGAAGAUGUGGUGUGAGUGCCAAUGAGACAACUCUCCAUACAAAUAACAAUUUAAAAAGUAAACCAUUAUAGGUUAAAGUACGGCCUUCAACACGGAGCCUUGGCUCACACCGAGCAACAAGCUAUAAAG
rnacentral:lncRNA from 1 species